CUGCCAUUUUAAUAGAGAAAUCAAAAGUAUAUGGUAAAAUUUGAAUAAAAAUUGCACCCUAAAAUGGUUGAUAAAAUGCAAUUCAGAUAACGUUUACUGAAAAUGAACUUCAUAGCGGAAACAUGGAGAAUAAAGUUAUCCCCCAGAAAAAAAGUAAAACGCUCUUCACCAUGUCGAAAAUCGUCGCAAAAGAUUCGAAAACCACGCUUCGGUUUCCACACUUCAGCUGUUCACUGUCGCAUGUGUGGAGACACUAUGUUGGAACUGUGUAAAGAGGGUUAUAGAAAACUCACUUGUGACCCAAAUUCAAGAUUUUUUGAUGUUUUAUGCAAAUUUUGUGAUAUUCUCCUUGCUCUGGCGCAUGACUGUGUUUGGAUGUUGCGUCGAUUGUGCUGUUGUCUUUUGUUUAGUUUGCGUUGAAUAAAGUUCUAUUUAUUUACA